CAGCACCUCAAGUGGUCAGGAUGAUUAUUGGGCCUAAAGCAUCCGUAGCCGGCGCUGUAAGUUUUCGGUUAAAUCUGUACGCUCAACGUACAGGCUGCCGGGAAUACUGCAGCGCUAGGGAGUGGGAGAGGUAGACGGUACUCGGUAGGAAGGGGUAAAAUCCUUUGAUCUAUUGAUGACCACCUGUGGCGAAGGCGGUCUACCAGAACACGUCCGACGGUGAGGGAUGAAAGCUGGGGGAGCAAUCCGGAUUAGAUACCCGCGUAGUCC
rnacentral:rRNA from 1 species